AGGGCUAGUCCAGUGACUCAUGUUGGACGCCGAGUCGAGACGUGCACUAAGUCGGGACACGAGCAGACGGAGUGUCACACAGACGGAGUGCCAUAGUGGUGCGAGGUGCCAGGAGGUAGCACGAGGCUGCUGACGGACAGGAUUCAGCUGGUCAGUGCGACUCUGCGAGAGAAGUGAAGAGAGAAGAGAAGAGGAAGAAAACCAAUUAUGGCGUUGAAAUCCUGUUUCACAUUGACCGUAGCAACUUCGGUGUGUCUGCUGCUGCUGGUGAUGCUGCUGCCUCUCUGCGGUGAGGCGGCGCCGCAGCAGUAUGAUCAGUCCCUCCCAGUGAACACGGAGACUUCAGUGGUGGUGGGAUCUGGCUGUUCGAGGGGAUUCGAGCGCUGCGGAGACGGCCGCUGCUGCCGCAUCAACACGCCGUUCAGCUGUCCGCCAGGAUACUUCUUCAUUGGAGGACGGUGCAUCAGACUGUUCUAGGAGCCUUGGUAGUUGGUUGACCUGUGUAAAAUCAGCAUGCAGGUACAGAGACUCUGGCUUGUUAUGUAUGAAUAUUGAAUUUAUUACUUACUGCCAUCAGCGUUUUGCCCUGCUUUGCAUGUUGUGAAGGCUCAGCUUGUUCAAUGUGCGAAGUUGAAAUACAUGAUGAGCGCUU
rnacentral:lncRNA from 1 species